UCCCUGGUGGUCCAGUGGUUAAGAAUCCUGCUGCCAAUGCAGGGACCACAGGUUCGAUCCCUGGCCUGGGAA
rnacentral:tRNA from 1 species